rnacentral:rRNA from 1 species
UGAGGAAUAUUGGACAAUGGGGGGAACCCUGAUCCAGCCAUGCCGCGUGUGUGAAGAAGGCCUUAUGGUUGUAAAGCACUUUAAGUUGGGAGGAAGGGCAGUAAGCGAAUACCUUGCUGUUUUGACGUUACCGACAGAAUAAGCACCGGCUAACUCUGUGCCAGCAGCCGCGGUAAUACAGAGGGUGCAAGCGUUAAUCGGAAUUACUGGGCGUAAAGCGCGCGUAGGUGGUUCGUUAAGUUGAAUGUGAAAGCCCCGGGCUCAACCUGGGAACUGCAUCCAAAACUGGCGGGCUAGAGUAGGGCAGAGGGUGGUGGAAUUUCCUGUGUAGCGGUGAAAUGCGUAGAUAUAGGAAGGAACACCAGUGGCGAAGGCGACCACCUGGGCUCAUACUGACACUGAGGUGCGAAAGCGUGGGGAGCAAACAGG